GACGAACGCUGGCGGCGUGCUUAACACAUGCAAGUCGAGCGGAAAGGCCCUGCUUUUGUGGGGUGCUCGAGUGGCGAACGGGUGAGUAACAUGGGAGUAACCUGCCCUUGACUUUGGGAUAACUUCAGGAAACUGGGGCUAAUACCGGAUAGGAGCUCCUGCUUCAUGGUGGGGGUUGGAAAGUUUGGUGGGGUGGGGUUGGACUCGCGGCUUAUCUGCUUGUUGGGGGGGUAGUGGCUUACCAGGGCUUUGACGGGUAGCCGGCCUGGGGGGGUGACCGGCCAAAUUGGGACGGAGAUAGGGCCCAGCCUCCUACGGGGGGCAGAGGUGGGGAAUAUGGACCAAUGGGCGGAGGCCUGAUGCAGCAAGGCCGCGUGCGGGAUGACGGCCUUCGGGUGGUAACCCGCUUUCGCCUGUGACGAAGCGUGAGUGACGGUAAUGGGUAAAGAAGCACCGGCUAACUACGUG
rnacentral:rRNA from 1 species